AUUGAACGCCGGCGGCAUGCCUUACACAUGCAAGUCGAACGGCAGCACGGGAGCAAUCCUGGUGGCGAGUGGCGAACGGGUGAGUAAAGUAUCGGAACGUGCCCAGUCGUGGGGGAUAACGUCGCGAAAGUUACGCUAAUACCGCAUACGAUCUAUGGAUGAAAGCGGGGGAUCGCAAGACAUCGCGCGAUUGGAGCGGCCGAUAUCAGAUUAGGUAGGUGGUGGGGUAAAGGCUCACCAAGCCGACGAUCUGUAGCUGGUCUGAGAGGACGACCAGCCACACUGGGACUGAGACACGGCCCAGACUCCUACGGGAGGCAGCAGUGGGGAAUUUUGGACAAUGAGCGAAAGCCUGAUCCAGCCAUGCCGCGUGCAGGAUGAAGGCCUUCGGGUUGUAAACUGCUUUUGUACGGAACGAAAAGGUUUGGCCUAAUAAGCUGAGCUCAUGACGGUACCGUAAGAAUAAGCACCGGCUAACUACGUGCCAGCCGCCGCAGUAA
rnacentral:rRNA from 1 species